rnacentral:ncRNA from 1 species
UUAAAAGCAAAGAUAUAGGAUAUGUCCUUAUGAAACGCUAUUGUAGAGAGAAGACGGCUGGUGAAAGUCUUUAUGGUCUUUAUAGGGGUACUCCCUAUGAGCUGCGCUCGAAAGAGAUUGCCGUUUCUCGCGUUAAGAGUCUAGAGGUUAUCGUAUGAUAACGAAUAAAGGUGGUACCACGAGUCUUCGUCCUUUGG